ensembl:lncRNA
CUAAUUUAUUGAGAUGCACCUGUAUUUUCCUGUGACUCUGUUAAGCUGCUUUGACACAACCAGUAUUGUAUAAAGUGUUAUACAAAUAAAGUUGACUUGGUCUCUUUUUAAAGAAAACACUUCAAGAUUAUUGCUGAAGAGAAAAGUUUGUAUGUAAAACUGAACAUGAAAAUCAAAGCCAUAAAUCUAAAGAAGUUGUGCUCCAAAUUUGAAGUUGAUAUUACAAUUUUUUUUCUUUCAGUCAGAUUUUGUUUGGGCCAUUAAUAUAAACCAUAAAUGACACCAGAUACACACCGACAGAUGUUUCCAUGUUUGUAAUUUAAUAAAAAGACAUGACAAUCUGAAAUUCAGUUCUUCUUUGCAGUUACUUUAAGCUCUGUAUUUGUCAAGAUAUCAUCUCUCUAAAAUCUGAUAUACCUUUACAACAGCAUUUAAGAAAACAACUUUUAAACGUGUUACUUCAUAUAAGUCAUAUUUACAGAAUGUACAUGAUCACUCAAUGAAAACACUUUUAACGGCUAACAUCAUGUUACGAUACAUCACUGUACACAGAUCAGAGAUCAGAUGACUGUACAGGAGAGAGAGCGAGGAGAUUCAGUGUCCUUCAACAGUCUGAUUUCAGGAAUCAAUCAUGGUCUGAUUGGCACAGAUGAGCAAAAUAAACUCCAAUGGAAUGAAACGCUGCUGAUCUCCAAACUCAAUGAUCCCUAAAACAUGACUGAUGAUGAGUGUGACUGGGUUUAACACCAGCUGCAGCCAGACGAGAUCAAUAUCAAACCAAUAAAACAACAAAAGUUAAGGCAACCAAUACUUCGAAAUACAGACGGAUGAAUCUCACUGUAAAGAACAGGUCCAGAUAUCAUAGUUCAGCCCGAACAUGACACCAGCUUCUCAGACCACUGAGAUUUUUUGCAUUUUGAUGUGAUUUUUAGCUGCAAAUAUUAUGAAAUGCAAAAAAAUAUUCUGAAAAAAAAAAGUAUAUUUAAAUGUCAAAAUAUUUAUACAUUAUGAAUUUAUAUUAAUGUAUUACAGUAAUGAUAAUCUAAAGAGAAUCACUAUUGAUACUGAAAAACAGAAAACAAAUCAAAAGUAAAUGUCCAGGAAUUAUGGUUUAUUCUCUACACUAUUUUGUGUUACAGAUGGUUUUGCUAGUUUGAGUUAAACCAAUGGUUUUCUAAAAUAAAUAAAAUAGAUUUAAAAAUUGAAAAAAAAAAAGGGUAAUUGCGACUUUUUAACCCAAUUCUGACUUAUUUUCUAACAACUGCAAGUUUAUAUCUAACAAUUCUGAGUGUAUAUCUCACAUAGUUUGACUCAAAUAUUUGUUUCCAUCACAGGAUAAAAAAUAAAAAGGUAGCCUACUUGAAACUUUUAUCUCACAAUUGCGAGUUUAUAACUCAGAAUUCUAUUUGGAAAGAAAAAAACAACAACUCAGAACUGGGAGAUAAAGUCGCAAUUACUUUUUUCUUUUAUUUUUGAUCAUGUGGCAGAAAUGAGUUUCCACAGAAGAGACCUGGUGAUAUCAAUCAUAAUGCAAAAAAAAGCCAAAAUGAUAAUAAAACAGACAUCCCUUUCUUUAUGCAAAAUAUAAUUUCCUAUUUUUUUCUGUUGAUCUGAGUGUGAAGCAUGAUCUGGAGAUGUUGUUGAGACUGAUCCUGAUAGAGGUGCAGACUGACGUCUGUCGGACAGGACCAGACUCCAGACGCCUGAGGUAAGACUGACCUCGAGCUUCCAGACAGAAAAGCUGGUCCCAGAUGAUCCAACACUGUUUUACACCAGAGACAGAGAGAGAGACAGAGACAGAGACAGAGACAGAGACAGAGACAGAGAGAGAGAGAGAGAGAGAGAGAGAGAGAGAGAGAGAGAGAGAGAGAGAGAGAGAGAAACCAGUCCGUAUCCUUCAGAGCAAAACUCCACAUUGACGGACGUCAUCUGUGUAACAACAGUAACUUCACCACACCUGCUCCGGUUCAUCGCUGCAGCGUUUCUGAGGAGUCUGAACACGUGUGUGAGAAACAGAAACGGUCCGGGAAUCACACACACGGGGGAAUGUGGCGAGAGUGUGUUCAGGAACUCUUUUCCACAUGAGUUCAAAGUGACCAGUCCAUCAAGACCCAGCUACAGCAUGAAAGCAGUCACGUGAUGCUGGGACUCUGUAUUCACUCUCAGUUGAAUAUUUUAGUGGAAAAGAGAGCACAUGGGCUGCUGUUAAGAUACUCCUAUGUGGCGUUUUGUCAUUUUUGGCACUUGACGGACAUAUUAAAGAUGUAUCCGAUGAUUCUGUGUUCUUCACAGAAGCAGCCUGCGUGAGGUGCUGUCAGAGCGCGUCCUGUACGUGUGUGUGUUACUGCGGUUAGCAGACGGCGGCGGUGUUCCCGUCUCUGCGUCCCUGUUUCUUCAGGAGCUGGAUGCGGUUGUGGCAGUAGAACUUGAUGGCCCUCCAGUCGCGCUGGUUGCUGACCAGCAGAGGGCAGAGCUGCAGGCACCGCUCACAGUCCGCUUUCGCAGGAACACGCAGCUCCAUGAUGUUCUUCUUCAGGUGCGUCUCCACGGCGACACGCUCCGCCUCCGACCACGGCCGCUUCAGCACGCCGCGCUUCCCUGAGACACACACACACACACACACACACACACAAACACCAUUAACACGGAC